GCUCAUAUGGUAUAAUGGUCAUUACUCAGCAUUGUGGCUGCUGCAAUCCAGGUUCGAUUCCUGGUGUGAGCA